rnacentral:lncRNA from 1 species
CAGGGAGGUUUGCUAAACAGCCGCUAUUAACUAGUACUCUAUCUAUCUUACUCAUUACCUUGUCAUCCCCUUCUUGUUUGUUAUUCUAUGUGAAGUAAGCACCAGUGGACUUUAUAUCAUGUAGAUCACAGUUCUCUACACAAUCUUAAAGUCUCUUAUGUCAGCCAUUGUGACAGAACUCCCAAGCCUUUCCUCUUUAUGAAG